GACGAACGCUGGCGGCGUGCCUAAUACAUGCAAGUCGAACGGACAGGCGCUGAGCUUGUGGGGUGCUCGAGAGGCGAACGGGUGAGUAUCACGUGAGUAUAACGCACUUGUCUUUGGGAGAACAUCACGAGAAAGCGGCUCAUACCGGAGAGGAGCUCCUGCAGCGUGUGGGGGAAUGGAAAGUGCCGGCGGUUGGGGAUGGACUCGCGGGUUAUCCGCUUGUUGGGGGGGUAGUGGCUUACCAAGGCUUUGACGGGUACGAGGCCUGAGAGGGUGAACGGCCACCUUGGUCCUAAGGUACGGCGCAGUCUGCUACGUGACGCAGCAGGGGGGAACAUUGCGGAAUGGGCGGAAGCCUGAUGCAGCAACGCCGCGUGCGGAAUGACGGCCUUUUGGUUGUAAACCGCUUUCGCCUGUAACGAAGCGUGAGUGACGGUAAUUGGUAAAGAAGCACCGGCUAACUACGUG
rnacentral:rRNA from 1 species